rnacentral:rRNA from 1 species
UGAGUAACACGUAUCCAACCUGCCGUCUACUCUUGGACAGCCUUCUGAAAGGAAGAUUAAUACAAGAUGGCAUCAUGAGUCCGCAUGUUCACAUGAUUAAAGGUAUUCCGGUAGACGAUGGGGAUGCGUUCCAUUAGAUAGUAGGCGGGGUAACGGCCCACCUAGUCUUCGAUGGAUAAGGGUUCUGAGAGGAAGGUCCCCCACAUUGGAACUGAGACACGGUCCAA